UUGAGCAGGAUCUGUCCACAAGAUGGCAGAGCAUCUCUGCUGCUGCUGAACUUAUGAAGCAACUUUUUGGUUUACUUCUCUAAGAGUAGGCUGCAGACAGGAGCUGCCUAUGCUGAUAGCUUAGGAGAACCCGCUGUCCUGUGGAGGUAGAAAGAGGUGACUUGACAGCAGAAGCAUCUUGUCUGGCUGGUGGCCACAGUCCCAAGUGGUGCAAUGAAGACACUGAAGGGAACUUUGUUCCUGUGCUUGUGGCUGCGGCUGGACUGUGUGAGCAGAGGAGAGCAACUGGAGCAGCAUCCUUCUUUCCUGAAUGUCCAGGAGGGAGACAGCUCUGUCAUCAACUGCACCUACACAGACAGUGCCUCUUACUACUUUUACUGGUACAAGCAGGAGCCUGGGGCAGGUCUCCAGUUCCUUAUAAAUAUUCCUCCCAAUGUGGACAGAAAAGAAGAUCAGAGACUCAUUGUCCUAUUGAAUAAGAAGGACAAACAUCUCUCCCUGCACAUCACAGCUGCCCAUCCUGGGGACUCAGCCACAUACGUCUGUGCAGUAAGUGCACAGUGCUCCCCAGACACCUGCUGCCUGCACCCAAACCUGAGACCAGGACUGGAGACAGAUAUUAAUUUCCACCCUAGAGGUCAUGACUUUUCUGUAUUGUAUUCUUAA